rnacentral:misc_RNA from 1 species
UCUCCUUCUUUGGUUUUAGCUAGCCUGACGCAGGUAUAUAUAAAUAUGGGAUGAGAGCGUAUACUUACUCGAUUCACAAACAAAAAGAAAGAUGGAAAGGGAAAGAAAGGAAGAGGUGUUAUGAGUACUAUAGUAGCUUGGGCUGUUUUGUUUUAGGGCUCAGAUUCCUUAAGUGACAGGAGAGAAAAGUUUUGAUUCCUCAUUUCUUUUUCGUUUUCUUCUGUUUUCUUGCAAAUGGGCAUUAUUGGCUUUUUCUUCGGAAAAUUGUUUUGGGCAUCUCAUAUAUGAAUUUUCACUACUACUACUGUGGUGGAGAUGGUGAACGAGCAGAAAACAUGCUCCCACGUGAACAAUCUCUGGAAGCUGCCAUGAGCAUCGAGGUUUCUUACAGCGAGGU